rnacentral:rRNA from 1 species
GUGCCAGCAGCCGCGGUAAUACGGAGGGUGCAAGCGUUGCUCGGAAUCACUGGGCGUAAAGGGCGUGUAGGCGGUUUCGUAUGUCUGGCGUGAAAGCCCCGGGCUCAACCCGGGAAGUGCGUUGGAAACUGCGAAACUAGAGUCUCGGAGAGGAAGGUGGAAUUCCAGGUGUAGCGGUGAAAUGCGUAGAUAUCUGGAAGAACACCGGUGGCGAAGGCGGCCUUCUGGACGAUGACUGACGCUGAGACGCGAAAGCGUGGGGAGCAAACAGGAUUAGAUACCCUGGUAGUCC